AUUUAGGUGACGAGUCCCAAAUAGGACGUAACGUACAUCCUAAAU
rfam:Schistosoma curassoni strain Dakar, Senegal genome assembly, scaffold: SCTD_scaffold0004059